rnacentral:rRNA from 1 species
GAUGAACGCUGGCGGCGUGCCUAAUACAUGCAAGUCGAGCGAACAGAUGAGGAGCUUGCUCCUCUGACGUUAGCGGCGGACGGGUGAGUAACACGUGGAUAACCUACCUAUAAGACUGGGAUAACUUCGGGAAACCGGAGCUAAUACCGGAUAAUAUAUUGAACCGCAUGGUUCAAUAGUGAAAGACGGUUUUGCUGUCACUUAUAGAUGGAUCCGCGCCGCAUUAGCUAGUUGGUAAGGUAACGGCUUACCAAGGCGACGAUGCGUAGCCGACCUGAGAGGGUGAUCGGCCACACUGGAACUGAGACACGGUCCAGACUCCUACGGGAGGCAGCAGUAGGGAAUCUUCCGCAAUGGGCGAAAGCCUGACGGAGCGACGCCGCGUGAGUGAUGAAGGUCUUCGGAUCGUAAAACUCUGUUAUUAGGGAAGAACAAAUGUGUAAGUAACUAUGCACGUCUUGACGGUACCUAAUCAGAAAGCCACGGCUAACUACGUG